CCCCUAGAUGUUCUGGGCCGCACGCGCGCUACACUGAACAGUUCAACAAGUCUUAACCUUGGCCGACAGGCCCGGGCAAUCUUUGAACGCCGGUCGUGAUGGGGAUAGACCUUUGCAAUUUUUGGUCUUCAACGAGGAAUUCCUAGUAAACGCAAGUCAUCAACUUGCAUUGAUUACGUCCCUGCCCUUUGUACACACCGCCCGUCGCACCUACCGAUUGAAUGGUCCGGUGAAACCUCCGGAUUGGCGCGUGCCCUCGGGCGCCGCCGAGAAGUUGGUUAAACCUUACCAUUUAGAGGAAGGUGAAGUCGUAACA
rnacentral:rRNA from 1 species